GCAGAAACAGCAUUAAUGUAUUUGUCUCUGCAGUAUGGGUGUGAAACUUUUCUUCCUCUUUUUUACAGUUCACCCAACCACUGCCAGGCCUUCCGACAACAAUGCACCCUGUUUCUGGAAACCUGUCAUCUCUUCUGGUAACUGGUAAACCAACUGUGAUGACUUCACCGCUCCCUGAGGCAAUACACUGCCAUUGUCUUGUUACCUGGGAGAUGAAUUAUCCACUCUUUAAAGCUGCGUGGUGCAUGAAGUAAAAUAUAAUUAUGAGUAAUCACUGCAGUAUUAUCGAUUUCUCAACAUGUCUGUUGUUUCUCCAUAAAUGGCUGUCGUGCUUUUACGGCCCAGGUCCAAAGUCUGUGUUUACUGAGCCUACAGUUAUUGACCAGCUCCUCAUUCAUUCUGACAGGAAGAAUUGUUUUUAGAAACAUGGUAAAUACAGGCUCGUGUAGCUACAACAGGCGAGCUGAGCCAGCUGCAGUCAUCAUCCCACAAUGCUGUCAGCCUGUCCUGUCCUGUCCUGCCCAAGCAUAAGCAACCCCAUGGUCUCACAUGGGAAAAUAACAGGUCUCUAAUCAGCUGGGCUUUGCUGCAUGUAAACUCCAAUAUGUAUUUAAUAACAGUGUAAAGCCUGUCAUUCCUGAACAACUUCAAGGUUUAAAGGAACUUGAAAUUACCAGGGUAACCAUCUGUCAAUAGAUGAGGCUGGUGGAAGCGUUUUUCUCUUAGAACAACAGACAAAUCAGUGUCGUUCCAUCUUGAUACGAUAGAUAUGAGGCAGUUUGAUUGACUCUGAACUGAAGAAUUCAUCAAUACUUCAUGGUUUUUUGAUUCUAAUGAAAUACAGUGAACAGAUUUAAGUUUGCAUGAAUGAGUGUGAGAAUUACACCAUAAUCUGCAUGCUGUUUCAGAAGCAUUUCCACCCUGAAUGUUUGCAUAAUCGACUAAAUUUAAAUAUUAAAUGUUAAUACAAAAUGCUGACGACGAAAGCUGACGUUUUCCCUUUCAUUGUUCAAAACAUGUAUAUGAUUUUCCAUUAAUCUACCAUAGUACCAGUACUUUUAUCCAAACAUAAAUGACGUGAAGUGAGUUCUUUUUGUUCCUGGUGAACCACAAGAAGAUGUUGAAGUGUUGACACAUGCGCAAUAGAUUUCUUAAGAUUUGUAUUUUGUGGUGUGGUCUCAAUUUUAAAUUCUUCGCUCAUAUUGUUACAACUUACCCCAGGUUGUGUUACAACUUGUGGGGCAGGUUGUAACAAUGGAACUCCUUGUAUUUGACAUCAAAUAAUGAAUUCUGUGAUAUAGCUGGAGAAGUUGGAAAAAAUGCUAUUUGUGGUAGACAAAUAAGGGCACUUUGUGUCAAAAUUUGAGCGCUCUAACACAAAAAUUCUGCGAGUUAUAGGUCCUGAGACAAAAAGUGUAACAGCCGUCCACGGUCUCCCCUAUUUUAGAACAUUUCGUUGCCUUCAAAACGUGCGGGCAUAGCUAAGAACCGGGAGCCCCUCCCUCAUCGACAUCAGGCUUCUUUCUCUUCUUGGAGAAAUAUUUGAAAAUGAAAUCAGGAAUAUUUUACUACAUAGCUUAUAUAAACAUUGUUGGCAAUUACCGACGUUUAUUGAAGUUUACUUAAUGUUACCGGUAUUAUGAUUCACUGAGUUAGCUAGCUAACAUUAGCUGGAACAUUAUUUCACGAUAUAUUAUUAAUAUUAAUAAUAAUUAGUUAGCCGUGAACAUUAAUA